rnacentral:rRNA from 1 species
AUUGAACGCUGGCGGCAGGCUUAACACAUGCAAGUCGAGCGGAGAUGAGGUGCUUGCACCUUAUCUUAGCGGCGGACGGGUGAGUAAUGCUUAGGAAUCUGCCUAUUAGUGGGGGACACCAUUCCGAAAGGAAUGCUAAUACCGCAUACGUCCUACGGGAGAAAGCAGGGGAUCUUCGGACCUUGCGCUAAUAGAUGAGCCUAAGUCGGAUUAGCUAGUUGGUGGGGUAAAGGCCUACCAAGGCGACGAUCUGUAGCGGGUCUGAGAGGAUGAUCCGCCACACUGGGACUGAGACACGGCCCAGACUCCUACGGGAGGCAGCAGUGGGGAAUAUUGGACAAUGGGGGGAACCCUGAUCCAGCCAUGCCGCGUGUGUGAAGAAGGCCUUAUGGUUGUAAAGCACUUUAAGCGAGGAGGAGGCUACUGAGACUAAUACUCUUGGAUAGUGGACGUUACUCGCAGAAUAAGCGCCGGCUAACUCUGUGCCAGCAGCCGCGGUAACAC